GACGAACCGUGCGAACGUUAUUCGGAAUCAUUGGGCUUAAAGGGCGCGUAGGCGGGUCGGUACGUCGGUCGCUGAAAUCCCCCGGCUUAACCGGGGACGUGGCACCGAUACGGCCGACCUGGAGGCGAGGAGGGGGACCUGGAACGUCCGGUGGAGCGGUGAAAUGCGUAGAUAUCGUAAGGAAGACCAGUGGCGAAGGCGGGUCUCUGGACAGUUCCUGACGCUGAGGCACGAAGGUCAGGGGAGCAAACGGG
rnacentral:rRNA from 1 species